CCAACAUCCCCCGCCCCGCAAGGAAACUUAACUGUGUCUCAGAAGUCUCGGCCCUCGGCAGUAGCCGUUUCUCAGCAACGGUCACCUGCAGCCUCGGCAACAGCGCAGCAGUCUCAGCAGUAGCCUCCGGAAUACAGCUAAUAUAGUUCUUAAACUGCGGCAAACUAACCAUUGUUUCCUCUCCUUCACUCUGGCAACGAGGAUGCCGAGCGUUUGCCGGAAUGGAGGUUACGGCGAGUGCUUCUCCAUUAAAAGGCCGUAGCCACCAGAGGCUAGAAAGGCUGUUCCUACUGUCUUUCUACUUCUCUUGCGCUUCUGUGUCUCUCCCUCUCUGCCUCUCACUGUCACUAUUUGCGAGAUAGAGAGGUGAACAUACUUCUUCGUCCUAUCCGUGGAAAGCUUGGGCACUAGAACUCCUCUAAUUCAACUUGUCGUUCCAAGAAGCAAGCAUACUUCUUCCUUCUUGGCAUUGAGUGGACCCUUGGAUGAUUGUUUGAAGCUGUUGAGAGGCCAGUGGGAUGAGCAAAAGCUGGUCGGUCUCCUCACCUCAAAAAUCUGUCAUAUGGGGACGACACAACUGCUGUUCUAAAGGUCUAUGAUGCUGUCGGUGCUUGUUUUCUUCAGAGACUCAUGUUAACUGGUAUGGGAAAGGGAUCUGGUGGGUUUGGUAGCGCCCGAGGACAAAGAGCCAUAUUUGAGGCUCUCCAUCACCCUUCUUACUGCAUUGUGUCAGGUGCCAGAAAUUGCUUCAUAUGAGGAAAUGGUCUCUAAAGUUCCUCUUGUAGCUGAAAUAGUUACAAAAUCGUCUGACCCUUGUUGCUGUUGCUUCGGAUAGUGGAAGAGCAAAGUUUUAUCAACCUGGAGUCAAUUACCUGUUGCUCUUGCUUUGGAUGCAGACAUGGGCAUGAGCGGUGAUAGUAUGGGAUGGCUGUCAUGGGGAGGACCCUUCCAAACAUGAAUGAUAAAGAAAUGUAGAAUGGCUACGGAUGGACAAUUUAUAUUCUCCUAAGAGGUACCUCUCAAUGGAUCAUGAAUAAGGACCAAAUGAAUGUGCGCUAAUAAAGGACCGGAGUACGGGGAGGAUGAUUGGCUUCGGAUGUGAAUCCCAUGGCCUAUAUCGACUUCAACAACCCUCUUUUGUUGGUUUGGCGGCGGUAUCUCCACUACUUAUUCAUGCUCAGUUGGGACAUCCAGGUCUUCAUAAAUUGAAACAGUUACAUCCUAGUCUUUCUCACUUAGAGUCUUUAUCUUGUGAGUCGUGUUAAUUAGGUAAGCAUGUUUGUAGUUUUUUUUCUCCACGCAUUGAGAGUCGGGCUAUGUCUCCUUUUGCUUUGGUUCAUUCUGAUGUUUGGGGUCCGAGUCGUGUUUCUUCUACAAUGGGGUCAAGGUAUUUUGUUACUUUUAUAGACGAUUUUUCCCGUUGUACAUGGUUAUAUC